GAUGAACGCUAGCUAUAGGCUUAACACAUGCAAGUCGAGGGGAAACGGCAUUAUGUGCUUGCACAUUUUGGACGUCGACCGGCGCACGGGUGAGUAUCGCGUAUCCACCUGCCCUUUACUUGGGGAUACCCCGUUGAAAGACGGCCUAAUACCCGAUGUAAUUCAUUGAUGGCAUCAGAUAUGAAUAAAAGAUUUAUCGGUAAAGGAUGGGGAUGCGUCUGAUUAGCUUGUUGGUGAGGUAACGGCUCACCAAGGCGACGAUCAGUAGGGGUUCUGAGAGGAAGGUCCCCCACAUUGGAACUGAGACACGGUCCAAACUCCUACGGGAGGCAGCAGUGAGGAAUAUUGGUCAAUGGACGGAAGUCUGAACCAGCCAAGUAGCGUGCAGGAAGACGGCCCUAUGGGUUGUAAACUGCUUUUAUACGAGAAUAAUUUGAUGCACGUGUGCGUUAUUGCAUGUAUCGUAUGAAUAAGGACCGGCUAAUUCCGUGCCAGCAGCCGCGGUAAUACGGAAGGUCCAGGCGUUAUCCGGAUUUAUUGGGUUUAAAGGGAGUGUAGGCGGUUUGUUAAGCGUGUUGUGAAAUUUAGAUGCUCAACAUUUAACUUGCAGCGCGAACUGGCGAACUUGAGUGCACACAACGUAUGCGGAAUUCAUGGUGUAGCGGUGAAAUGCUUAGAUAUCAUGAAGAACUCCGAUUGCGAAGGCAGCAUACGGGAGUGUAACUGACGCUUAAGCUCGAAGGUGCGGGUAUCGAACAGG
rnacentral:rRNA from 1 species